GCUACGUCAUGUUUUAAUAAGCUGACAUUUUGAACCUAAGUAAAAGAAAAUUGCUUUACUUCAUACCCUUUCAACAAACAUAAGUUCCAACAUCACUAUUUUGAUCAUUCUGUGUUUUUACCCUCCCGAAUCUCUGAUUGGUUUUGUUUGUACCCUUUGAUUCUACGAUCUACUGUGAGCCAGCGAUCCCAAUUCCUCACUGACACUUCCCGUCGUUACCAGUCAAUGGUUUGAGGAAGUUGGAUUCAGAUAAGACUUUCCCUUUUUUUUUGAGAGCUCCAACGAUUACACACACUACCCAGUUUUGGCCAAUCAAACAACUAGAUCCCAAAUGCCGACCAUUCAGACCAGAAGUGAAAAGGUAUGCUCUUGUAAGCACCCCUGUGCAAUUCAAAAGCUGCCCCACAGCUUCAGAAUGGAAGCAUCACUGGGUAGACCGCUGGUUCAGGAUCUUCCGAUCGCGAGAGUAGCUGUUUGAAAUAUCUUCGGACCUUAGUAACAAGAAUUUAUCAUAUCUAAGCACCAUGUAUCUCUGUUCUCUGUACGUCAUAAACCAUUGGUCAACAAGUGCAUCUUA